CUCCCUCAAACCUUUGGGUUUGGUGUUGAGCAAGACGAUUCAGAGUUUGCUUGAAAUAUAUUUUAGUUAUUACAAAGGAUAGGUUCUACCAAAUCUUUGUAUAGAUGACUAUAUUUAUAAAUCCAA
rnacentral:misc_RNA from 1 species